AAGAAGGCUGUAUGUCUUGGGGGAGCAGGACAGGCAGCUGGGGCUGGACUGAGCCCCAGAGGAAGCAGCUCAGAUUUUAGAAGGAAGUUGCUGAGAACAACCCAGCGGCAGUAUUCCUAAAGAGAGAUUCUCCCUGAAGGCUGUGGCACCAGCUCUGUGCCUGAGGAUCACAUUUCUAGCUCCUUCUGGUUUCCCUUGUUCAGGUGGU
rnacentral:lncRNA from 1 species